GGCCACGUGGCGAAGUGGAAACGCAGCGGUUUGCAAAACCGAUAUUGCGCGGGUUCGAUUCCCGCCGUGGCCUCCA
rnacentral:tRNA from 2 species